UAGGGAAUAUUGGUAAUGGGCGAAAGCCCGAACCAGCAACGCCGCGUGCGCGAUGAAGGCCUUCGGGUUGUAAAGCGCUUUUUAAGGGGAUGAGGAAGGACAGUACUCUUAGAAUAAGCCUCGGCUAACUACGUGCCAGCAGCCGCGGUAAAACGUAGGAGGCGAGCGUUAUCCGGAUUUACUGGGCGUAAAGCGUGUGUAGGCGGUUUGAUAAGUUGGAUGUGAAAGCUCCUGGCUUAACUGGGAGAGGUCGUUCAAAACUAUCAGACUUGAGAGUGGUAGAGGGAGGUGGAAUUCCGCAUGUAGUGGUGAAAUGCGUAGAUAUGCGGAGGAACACCAGUGGCGAAAGCGGCCUCCUGGCCCAUUUCUGACGCUCAGACGCGAAAGCUAGGGCAGCAAACG
rnacentral:rRNA from 1 species